UGGGGAAUAUUGCACAAUGGGCGAAAGCCUGAUGCAGCAACGCCGCGUGAGUGAUGAAGGCCUUCGGGUUGUAAAGCUCUGUCUUUUGGGACGAUAAUGACGGUACCAAAGGAGGAAGCCACGGCUAACUACGUGCCAGCAGCCGCGGUAAUACGUAGGUGGCAAGCGUUGUCCGGAUUUACUGGGCGUAAAGGAUGCGUAGGCGGAUUUUUAAGUGGGAUGUGAAAACCCUAAGCUUAACUUGGGGGACUGCAUUUCAUACUGGAAAUCUAGAGUGCGGGAGAGGAGAAUGGAAUUCCUAGUGUAGCGGUGAAAUGCGUAGAGAUUAGGAAGAACACCAGUGGCGAAGGCGAUUCUCUGGACCGUAACUGACGCUGAGGCAUGAAAGCGUGGGUAGCAAACAGGAUUAGAUACCCUGGUAGUCCACGCCGUAAACGAUGAGUACUAGGUGUAGGAGGUAUCGACCCCUUCUGUGCCGCAGUUAACACAAUAAGUACUCCGCCUGGGAAGUACGAUCGCAAGAUUAAAACUCAAAUGAAUUGACGGGGUCAUAGCUGUUUCCU
rnacentral:rRNA from 1 species